rnacentral:tRNA from 1 species
UAAUAGAUAGUUUAUAAUAAAACAUAUGGUUUCGGGCCAUAAGAAGGGGGAUCCCUAUAUUGC